GCCGAGCGGUAGAGAUUCUUCGGAAUCUUGAGAGCGGCGUACGGGUGCGGAACACGUGUGCAACCUGCCUUUAUCUGGGGGAUAGCCUUUCGAAAGGAAGAUUAAUACCCCAUAAUAUAUUGACUGGCAUCAGUUGAUAUUGAAAACUCCGGUGGAUAGAGAUGGGCACGCGCAAGAUUAGAUAGUUGGUGAGGUAACGGCUCACCAAGUCUACGAUCUUUAGGGGGCCUGAGAGGGUGAUCCCCCACACUGGUACUGAGACACGGACCAGACUCCUACGGGAGGCAGCAGUGAGGAAUAUUGGACAAUGGGUGAGAGCCUGAUCCAGCCAUCCCGCGUGAAGGACGACGGCCCUAUGGGUUGUAAACUUCUUUUGUAUAGGGAUAAACCUACUCUCGUGAGAGUAGCUGAAGGUACUAUACGAAUAAGCACCGGCUAACUCCGUGCCAGCAGCCGCGGUAAUACGGAGGGUGCAAGCGUUAUCCGGAUUUAUUGGGUUUAAAGGGUCCGUAGGCGGAUCUGUAAGUCAGUGGUGAAAUCUCACAGCUUAACUGUGAAACUGCCAUUGAUACUGCAGGUCUUGAGUGUUGUUGAAGUAGCUGGAAUAAGUAGUGUAGCGGUGAAAUGCAUAGAUAUUACUUAGAACACCAAUUGCGAAGGCAGGUUACUAAGCAAACACUGACGCUGAUGG
rnacentral:rRNA from 1 species